rnacentral:rRNA from 1 species
AACAGGAUUAGAUACCCUGGUAGUCCAUGCCGUAAACGUUGGGCACUAGGUGUGGGGACCAUUCCACGGUUUCCGCGCCGCAGCUAACGCAUUAAGUGCCCCGCCUGGGGAGUACGGCCGCAAGGCUAAAACUCAAAGGAAUUGACGGGGGCCCGCACAAGCGGCGGAGCAUGCGGAUUAAUUCGAUGCAACGCGAAGAACCUUACCAAGGCUUGACAUGUUCUCGAUCGCCGUAGAGAUACGGUUUCCCCUUUGGGGCGGGUUCACAGGUGGUGCAUGGUUGUCGUCAGCUCGUGUCGUGAGAUGUUGGGUUAAGUCCCGCAACGAGCGCAACCCUCGUUCCAUGUUGCCAGCACGUAAUGGUGGGGACUCAUGGGAGACUGCCGGGGUCAACUCGGAGGAAGGUGAGGACGACGUCAAAUCAUCAUGCCCCUUAUGUCUUGGGCUUCACGCAUGCUACAAUGGCCGGUACAAUGGGUUGCGAUACUGUGAGGUGGAGCUAAUCCCAAAAAGCCGGUCUCAGUUCGGAUUGGGGUCUGCAACUCGACCCCAUGAAGUCGGAGUCGCUAGUAAUCGCAGAUCAGCGACGCUGCGGUGAAUGCGUUCCCGGGCCUUGUACACACCGCCCGUCAAGUCACGAAAGUUGGUAACACCCGAAGCCGGUGGCCUAACCCUUGUGGGGGGAGCCGUCGAAGUGGGACCAGCGAUUGGGACUAAGUCGUAACAAGGUAGCCGUA